GACGGAGGAGGCAAGCGUUAUCCGGAAUUAUUGGGCGUAAAGCGUGCGCAGGUGGCGAUUCAAGUCUGCUGUCAAAGGUCGGGGCUUAACCCCGGGAAGGCAGUGGAAACUGAAUAGCUAGAGUGCGGUAGGGGCAGAGGGAAUUCCCGGUGUAGCGGUGAAAUGCGUAGAGAUCGGGAAGAACACCAGUGGCGAAAGCGCUAUGCUGGGCCUGCACUGACACUGAGGGACGAAAGCUAGGGGAGCGAAUGGG
rnacentral:rRNA from 1 species